rnacentral:rRNA from 1 species
UUGCAGUUAAAAAGCUCGUAGUCGGAUUUUGGCAUCACGCCGAACUGUCAGCCGAUUGGUUUGUACGGUUUGGCGGGUGCUCUCCUUCCGGAAGCUCGUUCCCUUCUUAGUUGACGGGUUCGAUGGUUCCGGGUCUUUUACUUUGAAAAAAUUAGAGUGUUCAAAGCAGGCCUAUGCUCUGAAUAGGUUAGCAUGGAAUAAUAGAAUAGGACUUUGGUUCUAUUUUGUUGGUUUCUAGGACCGAAGUAAUGAUUAAUAGGGACAGUUGGGGGCAUUCAUAUUCCAAUGUCAGAGGUGAAAUUCUUGGAUUAUCGGAAGAUGAACUUCUGCGAAAGCAUCUGCCAAGGAUGUUUUCAUUGAUCAAGAACGAAAGUUAGGGGAUCGAAGACGAUCAGAUACCGUCGUAGUCUUAACCAUAAACUAUGCCGACUAGGGAUGUGAAGGCGUUAUUUUAUACGACCCUUCAUGCACCUUAUGAGAAAUCAAAGUCUAUGGGUUCCGGGGGGAGUAUGGUCGCAAGGCUGAAACUUAAAGGAAUUGACGGAAGGGCACCACCAGGAGUGGAGCCUGCGGCUUAAUUUGACUCAACACGGGAAAACUUACCAGGUCCAGACAUAGUUAGGAUUGACAGAUUGAGAGCUCU